rnacentral:rRNA from 1 species
AGCGAACGCUGGCGGGUGGCUUAACACAUGCAAGUCGAGCGCCGAUUUCGGUCGGAGCGGCGAACGGGUGAGUAACACGUAGGGUAUCUGCCCUUUGGUGAGGGAUAACUCGGGGAAACCCAAGCUAAUACCACAUAUGGCCUACGGGUCAAAGGCUUCGGCCGCCAGAGGAUGAACCUGCGGCCCAUUAUUUAAUCCUUGUUGGUGGGGUAACGGCCUACCAAGGGUACGGUGGGUAGCUGGUCUGAGAGGACGAUCAGCCACACUGGGACUGAGACACGGCCCAGACUCCUACGGGAGGCAGCAGUGGGGAAUAUUGCGCAAUGGGGGAAACCCUGACGCAGCCAACCCGCGUGAGUGAUGAAGGCCUCGGUU